rnacentral:lncRNA from 1 species
GGAGAACAUCAAACUGCAUUAAGAAUAAAAGUAGUAUAAAAACACAGAAGUGGAUUUAUAAAGAAACAGGAGUCAUUAAUUACAGCUUAAUGGUAGCGACUCAUGUAAUUAAUGAUUAUUUGUCCCUGAGGUCAUGGGUUCGAGUCGCGGGAGGCUCAUCUUUGUGGGGAAUAAAAUACAGGGGGUAUUUAAGCUAGUGGAUGGCAUGUGUAGUGUCGUCAUGGGCCGGGGAGGUCGCAUGACAUUUCUGCGUUGUUACCGGUGACAUGCUCAGUGUCGUCAUGGACCGGGGAGGUCGCAUGACAUUACUGGGUGUUACACAUGGCAUGGGAUUCACAGAGAGUACAUGUCAUAACAUCACCGCUGCUUAAAUUGUAGACAUGAUUACAUGCCUUAAAUUGUAGAUCAUUGUGGAACACAUUGAAAUUAUGCAUGACAUAGGUAUGAUUUUCAACCAAAUGAUCCUUCCAUUGAUUGAAUUCUUCCUUUUUCAUGGAAACUUGGAUCUUGUCUACCUAAAAACAGAGAUAGUUAGUAAUUGAAAUUGUAAGAAAUAAAUAUUUUUCUGUGUAAUAUUAUCUUACAGUCCAUUAAUAUCAUUUCUAAAUGUCUGGAUUUAGGUGGAAGCUGAAAUACCAAAUUCAUGUAAUUCUAACAACUAUCUUCUACAGGUGUUUUGAGUCAUUCAAAUACCUUAACAGCUCGAACGGACGUGAUAUUGACAUUAACAUAGCAAAUACUAACUUAUGAAAACAUUAAGCCACCACAAACAAAAACAUUUAGCCACACAAAAACUAACAACAACAAUUAAGUAAAACAGAUUGAAAACAUGACUCUCAAUUCAUGAAAGAAUGAAAAUCUAGUACGAUAAAAAUUGUUAAGGUCAUUUUUUGUAGAGGUGAGCUAAUAAGUACGCUAUCACAUAUUAUGUAUGAUCUUAUUUGUUAUUGAAGAUAUGACUCUCAGCAUAAUACUCAACUAUUUAUAAACUGGAAAUUAGAGAAGCUCAGUUUUGAAAAGAAUAGUAAAAAAAAGGUUCAAUUGAUUUUUAACUAAUGCUUUAGAAAAUGUAUAUUAAAACAGAGAAGAUAGUAAUAACAGUAGCCAAGAAGAGUAAACUAUUUACAAUCUGGAGAAUCAAGAAGCAAUAAUUGAAGAGAGUACUCAAUUAUUAUAUUCAAUUAUAUUACCUAAUACUUUAGACACUGUCUAUUAGGCAUAGACAUUGCAUCUUUAUAAAAAAAUGGUAGUUAAUUAACUUAGAAAUAUAUUGUUAGUAAGCCUCUUUAAAUAAAAGAAACAUAAUUAACUUAGAAUAUACAAAAUAAUGAUAACCAACCAACAAUGGACAUGCUAAGAGUAAAAUUCGUCAAUUAACUACAACAUACUUGAUAGAUAUAAGGUAGUUACAGUAGAUAAAAGAACAAAUUUUUUUUAAAAUAUAAUGCAGUAAAAGUGACAAUUGAUAAUAAGUCAUUACAAAUUCAAUUUUUUAAUUUCAGAAACAGUUUCAUAGAGGUGAGUUACAAAUCCAUGUAAAUAUAUAUUCAAUAUCUCAUCUUCAAAAAAAUAAAUAUGACCAAUGACCUUCGAAAGGUUCAAUGCAGAAAUAUAUAUUCAAUAUCUCAUCUUCAAAGAAUUAAAUAUGAGGGACAACUAAAAUUUAUAUUCAACAAAUAUAUAUUCAAAACCAAGAAGCCUUAAAAUGAUGUGUACGUAUCAUCACUGCUGGAAAAGAAAGAAGAUGACAAAAGUCAUCUUAAAAUGACCUUCAAGGACCAAUACAUGUAACAAAUAUAUAUUCAAUAUCUCAUCUUUAAAGAAAUAAAUAUGAGGAACAACUAAAAAAAGUCAUCAAACAAUGACCUUAAAAAAACAAAUAAUAUAUAUUGAAGCCCAAAAAAUAUAAAAAGACAAAUAUCAGAAAUAUAACAAAUAAAUAAUAAAGCUCAAAAACACCAAAAAUAAACAAAUAUCAGAAAUAUAACAAAUAACUAAUGAAGCCCAAAAACACAGAAAUAAACAAAUAUAUAUAUAGCAAAUAUAUAACAAAUAUAUAUAUAUAUAUAUAUAUAUAUAUAUAUAUCAAAUAUAUAAUAAAUAUCAUAAAUAUAUAUAUUGACCUUAGGAAAAACAAAUCAACAGUAUACAUUGAAGCCUAAAAACAUAUAAAAGACAAAUAACAGAAAUAUAGCAAAUAUAUAUUAAACGCCAAAAAGUCUUAAAGUUAACAUUUUUAAGGCCAACAAUAGUAUCAUCAAUGCUACAAAAGGAAGAAGAUGACAAAAGUCAGGUUACAAUAAAAGUAUCAUCACUUCUGGAAAAGGAAAAAACAAAUAUACUUUCAUGAAACAAAUAUUCAAGAUCACAAAAAAACAAGAAACAAACAAACAAACAUAAUGAUGCACAAAACAAACGCAUGUUCAAAAAGUUAAAGUUAACAUUUUUAACAAAAAAUUUAAAUGUAGAGCGGGUCUGAAAACGUAAGAUGAAGAUCCAAAAAAAACAGGAAGAACUUUAAAUCUGGAAUGCAUGCAUGUUCAUCAAAGGUAAAAUAAACGCACGUUCAAAAAGUAACAUAAUGAUGUACAAAACAAAGACAUGUUCAAAAAGUUAAAGUUAACAUUUUUAACAAAAAAAAAAUGAAUGUAGAGCGGAUCUGAAAACGUAAAAUGAAGAUCCACAAAAAGAAAGGAAGAACUUCGGAUCUGGAACGCAUGUUGAUCGAAGGUAAAAUAACGCAAGUAACAUAACGAUACACAAAAUAAGGGAGAACUUCGGAUCUGGAAAAUGGAAAAAGUAAGAUGAUGAUACAUAAAAAUGAAAAAAGAAGAACUUUGGAUCUGGAAUGCAUGUUCAUGAGAGGUAAACCCUUUGCAAACAUAACAUUGGUGUUUCAAAGGUAAAACGUUUGAAAUAAGAAAUGUAAGUAUAAAACUCAGUUACCUUAAGUAGAGUAGUGAAGAUGUAUAGGAAUGUAUAUAGUAGUUAAAGACAUGUGGUUCGGAGAGGAGGAAGAUGAAGAAACGAAUACCCUUGGAAGUAGUAAGCCUGGAGAGAGAAGCAUAAGAAAUGAAUGGCCUUGACAGCAGAUUGGAAGAAAAGAAGGUAAUGUGGCAGACUUGAUUAAUAACACUGCAAAACCACAUGACGUGUUGAAGACACACACAAAUUUCAAAUCUGCUUUAAAUGUGUG